GCACCGUAUAGCGGUGCUCUCUCCCCCCGACCUCUUUUACGGGACGGUGAGAAACGGAGCGGGGUAAGAAUAAUCCUUUGGCGGGUUGAUCUACUAGGCACUUUCUGUGCUUGGAUAGGUUGCUGAUUGUGCUCGAAAGUCAGUAAUUCUUUGGGAUACUCGACAUAAUUUCA
rnacentral:sRNA from 1 species